GACGAACCGUGCGAACGUUAUUCGGAAUCACUGGGCUUAAAGGGCGCGUAGGCGGGUGAAUAAGUCGAGGGUGAAAGCCUCUAGCUUAACUAGAGAAGUGCCCUCGAAACUAUUUGUCUUGAGAGAGAUAGGGGCAUACGGAACUUCCGGUGGAGCGGUGAAAUGCGUAGAGAUCGGAAGGAACGCCGGUGGCGAAAGCGGUAUGCUGGAUCUUUUCUGACGCUGAGGCGCGAAAGCUAGGGGAGCGAACGGGAUUAGAUACCCCGGUAGUCCUAGCCCUAAACGAUGAGUACUAGAUUGUAGGCUGACAUGGGCUUACAGUCGAAGCAAAAGUAUUAAGUACUCCGCCUGGGGAGUAUGGUCGCAAGGCUGAA
rnacentral:rRNA from 1 species